CUUUAAACUUAGAAUAGUUUUACAAGGAACCUUUAAACACAUCUCCCGUUUGCUUUUCGUUCAACAAAGUCGUGGUAGAUGGCAUAUUAAACGAGUACAAUCAAUACGAUCGAAAUCAAUUGAAAAUGUAACCUUGUAUACUCGACAAGGGGUUCAAUACUUAUUUAAUAUUUCAUAGCCUUAUGAACAAAAGACCAUACUUUAACAAAAGUUUUAACCGCAGAUAUUUU